AGAGUUUGAUCCUGGCUCAGGACGAACGCUGGCGGCGUGCCUAACACAUGCAAGUCGAACGGAGAUAUGAUUUCGGUUGUAUCUUAGUGGCGAACGGGUGAGUAACGCGUGAGCAACCUGACUCUUAGAGGGGGAUAACACUCGGAAACGAGUGCUAAUACCGCAUAAGACCACGACAUGGCAUCAUGACGAGGUCAAAGGAGCAAUCCGCUGAGAGAGGGGCUCGCGUCCCAUUAGAUAGAUGGCGGGGUAACGGCCCACCAUGUCAACGAUGGGUAGCCGAGCUGAGAGGCCGAUCCGCCACACUGGAACUGAAACACGGACCAGACUCCUACGGGAGGCAGCAGUGGGGAAUAUUGCACAAUGGGCGAAAGCCUGAUGCAGCAACGCCGCGUGAGCGAUGAAGGCCUUUGGGUCGUAAAGCUCUGUCCUUGGGGAAGAAAAAAAUGACGGUACCCUUGGAGGAAGCCCCGGCUAACUACGUGCCAGCAGCCGCGGUAAUACGUAGGGGGCGAGCGUUGUCCGGAAUUACUGGGCGUAAAGGGUGCGUAGGCGGUUUAUUAAGUUGGAUGUGAAAUACCCGGGCUUAACUUGGGAGGUGCAUCCAAAACUGAUAGACUUGAGUGCAGGAGAGGGCAAUGGAAUUCCAUGUGUAGCGGUAAAAUGCGUAGAUAUAUGGAGGAACACCAGUGGCGAAGGCGGUUGCCUGGCCUGUAACUGACGCUGAGGCACGAAAGCGUGGGGAGCAAACAGGAUUAGAUACCCUGGUAGUCCACGCUGUAAACGAUGAGUGCUAGGUGUAGGGGGUAUCGACUCCCUCUGUGCCGCAGUUAACGCAUUAAGUAAUCCACCUGGGGAGUACGUUCGCAAGAAUGAAACUCAAAGGAAUUGACGGGGGCCCGCACAAGCGGAGGAGCAUGUGGUUUAAUUCGAUGAUACGCGAGGAACCUUACCUGGGCUCGAACGUAUAGGGAAUUAUGCCGAAAGGUAUAAGCCAGCAAUGGCCGUAUACGAGGUGCUGCAUGGUUGUCGUCAGCUCGUGCCGUGAGGUGUUAGGUUAAGUCCUGCAACGAGCGCAACCCUUACCUUUAGUUGCCAGCAUGUAAUGAUGGGGACUCUAAAGGAACUGCCUACGCAAGUAGUGAGGAAGGUGGGGAUGACGUCAAAUCAGCACGGCCCUUAUGUCCAGGGCGACACACGUGCUACAAUGGCAUAAACAAAGGGCAGCAACAUCGCGAGGUGAAGCGAAUCCCAAAAUUAUGUCUCAGUCCGGAUUGGAGUCUGCAACUCGACUCCAUGAAGUU
rnacentral:rRNA from 1 species